rnacentral:rRNA from 1 species
CACGUAGGGGCCAAGCGUUGUCCGGAUUUAUUGGGCGUAAAGAGCUCGUAGGUGGUUCGGUAAGUCGGAUGUGAAAUCUCCAGGCUCAACCUGGAGGGGUCAUUCGAUACUGCCGUGACUAGAGGUCGGUAGGGGAGUGUGGAAUUCCUGGUGGAGCGGUGAAAUGCGCAGAUAUCAGGAGGAACACCCGUAGCGAAGGCGGCACUCUGGGCCGAUACUGACACUGAGGAGCGAAAGCGUGGGGAGCGAACAGG